rnacentral:rRNA from 1 species
AGGACGAACGCUGGCGGCGUGCUUAACACAUGCAAGUCGAGCGGAAAGGCCCUUCGGGGUACUCGAGCGGCGAACGGGUGAGUAACACGUGAGCAACCUGCCCCUGGCUCUGGGAUAGCCUCCGGAAACGGGGAUUAAUACCGGAUAUGACCACGGCCGACAUCGGCCACGGUGGAAAGAUUCAUCGGCUAGGGAUGGGCUCGCGGCCUAUCAGCUUGUUGGUGGGGUAACGGCCUACCAAGGCGACGACGGGUA